ensembl:lncRNA
GCAAAAUUUAAGAACUCAGCUGGCUCUUUUCAUUUGAUGACUCCGAGCCUAUUUUUUCCCCCUGCAUACUCCUUGCACAUUUCAUUCCUCACAAUCCCGUCCCCAUUAGUGGUGAUGACAAAGCUCCCAUCGCUCCCCAUGUGUGGGAGAAUCACACUGUUCCAGUGCCCCGGUUCAGCCUGCACCAGUGGAAGCUGCCCACGGGCUGCAGCCUUCCCAGCACAGCUCCAGCCAGCAUCAUCUGCAGCAUCCACGCUCCUUGAAUUAGAGACAGCUGCGCAUUCCUCAGUUAUUAUGAAUUAUCUUCGUUCAUUAGCUGCUUCCAUGUGCCACAGUAGUGCCUGUAUAUGAGAAUGAACCGAGCGUGCGGUUGUGAAGAACUGCAUGCAAACUAUUUAAAAGUCCGUCCCCGCUCAU